rnacentral:rRNA from 1 species
ACGCUGGCGGCGUGCCUAAUACAUGCAAGUAGAACGCUGAAGGAGGAGCUUGCUUCUCCGGAUGAGUUGCGAACGGGUGAGUAACGCGUAGGUAACCUGCCUGGUAGCGGGGGAUAACUAUUGGAAACGAUAGCUAAUACCGCAUAAGAGUAGAUGUUGCAUGACAUUUGCUUAAAAGGUGCAAUUGCAUCACUACCAGAUGGACCUGCGUUGUAUUAGCUUGUUGGUGGGGUAACGGCUCACCAAGGCGACGAUACAUAGCCGACCUGAGAGGGUGAUCGGCCACACUGGGACUGAGACACGGCCCAGACUCCUACGGGAGGCAGCAGUAGGGAAUCUUCGGCAAUGGACGGAAGUCUGACCGAGCAACGCCGCGUGAGUGAAGAAGGUUUUCGGAUCGUAAAGCUCUGUUGUAAGAGAAGAACGAGUGUGAGAGUGGAAAGUUCACACUGUGACGGUAUCUUACCAGAAAGGGACGGCUAACUACGUGCCAGCAGCCGCGGUAAUACGUAGGUCCCGAGCGUUGUCCGGAUUUAUUGGGCGUAAAGCGAGCGCAGGCGGUUAGAUAAGUCUGAAGUUAAAGGCUGUGGCUUAACCAUAGUACGCUUUGGAAACUGUUUAACUUGAGUGCAAGAGGGGAGAGUGGAAUUCCAUGUGUAGCGGUGAAAUGCGUAGAUAUAUGGAGGAACACCGGUGGCGAAAGCGGCUCUCUGGCUUGUAACUGACGCUGAGGCUCGAAAGCGUGGGGAGCAAACAGGAUUAGAUACCUGGGUAGUCCACGCCGUAAACGAUGAGUGCUAGGUGUUAGACCCUUUCCGGGGUUUAGUGCCGCAGCUAACGCAUUAAGCACUCCGCCUGGGGAGUACGACCGCAAGGUUGAAACUCAAAGGAAUUGACGGGGGCCCGCAC